GGUGGAGUUGCUCACCUGGGUGCUGGUGUGAAAGUUUGCAGAUGGCUGCUGCUGAGUCAGUGAGUGUCUGUUUCUUUUGCUUCUUCUAAAAGUAUCUGCUUCCUGUCAGGGUCUGGCACUGUGCUGGGUCUUUGCCAGGAAUUGCUCUGACACUGAAGAUCAGAGUUACCAUGACCCAGACCCUGGCCAGGCGGGGCUUCUCGGGAAACAGAAAGUCCAGUGGGGCUAGAAGGAGGAAGUUUCUGCUGGCUGCACAGCCAGCAACCCCCACCCCCUGCCUCCUCUGCCUCUGCAAAUAAAGGGGCUUCUGGAAGGUAGGGUCAGCCCUGAGGGGGCCAGGGUGAGGUUUUUCCUGAAGGAUCUGGCAUUGCUGUGGCUGUGGUGCAGGCUGGCAGCUGUAGCUGAUUCGACCCCCAGCCUGGGAACCUCCAUAUGCCCCGGGCGUGGCCAUAAAAAACAAACAAACGAAAAAACUACAUCCUCAUGGAUACUAGUUGGGUUCUUAACCUGAUGAGCCACAAUGGGAACUCCCAGGAUGGAAUUUACAAAGUCCUCAGGGAUACUCAUCCUCUCAUCCCCCUCCCAUUAGCGACUCCUCAGCCCCCUCCUGGUCAAUGCUAUCCCUAACUUUGAGCCCAGUGGUCCCUUCUCUAUCCUCCUCCCUCUCUCAGAGCCUUCUGACCAGGCCAGACCCCCUCCUCCUAAAAACUCCAUCCUCAUGCGGCCCCCAGGCUCCAUACACCCCCUCCCUCCCUCUCACUUCUCACAGACCUUCUCUGGUCCCCCCCCCCCCCACCUGCCAGGGCCUUGUCCCCUCUCAGGGACUGAACUCCAUCUAUGCCCCUAUGACGUCCACAGUCCUGUCUCCAGCCCGGGCCUUCCCUGAGCUCUGGACUCGGAGUUCAGCUACCCCUUGACGUCUCCAUGUGGGGAAUCCAUGAGGGUCUCACACUCAAGGACACCACGGUGUGUCUGACCCUCCCCGCCUAACCUGCCCCUCUUGCGUCUCAUUUUUGCUGAUGGAAGCUCCAUCUUGGCAAUCGCUCAACUCGAACCUGAGAGUCACCCUCGACUGAUCUAUCAGCCAACACUCCUGCUUCUGCUUUCGAAAAAUCUGCCCUGGAGUUCCUGUCGUGGCACAGUGGUUAACGAAUCCGACUAGGAACCAUGAGAUUGCGGGUUCGGUCCCUGGCCUUGCUCAGUGGGUUAACGAUCCAGCGUUGCCGUGAGCUGUGGUGUAGUUUGCAGCCGCGGCUCGGAUCCAGCGUUGCUGUGGCUCUGGCGUAGGCCAGUGGCUACAGCUCCGAUUAGACCCCCUAGCCUGGGAACCUCCAUAUGCCGCAGAAGCGGU
rnacentral:lncRNA from 1 species